rnacentral:rRNA from 1 species
UAGGGAAUCUUCGGCAAUGGACGAAAGUCUGACCGAGCAACGCCGCGUGAGUGAAGAAGGUUUUCGGAUCGUAAAACUCUGUUGGUAGAGAAGAACGUUGGUGAGAGUGGAAAACUCAUCAAGUGACGGUAACUACCCAGAAAGGGACGGCUAACUACGUGCUAG